rnacentral:tRNA from 1 species
GGUGGAGUAGUAUACGAAGUACAGUGGGCUCAUAACCUACGGGUGGGAUUGGUUUUCCCUUCCGCCA